GACGAACGCUGGCGGCGUGCUUAACACAUGCAAGUCGAACGGAAAGGCCUGCUUUCCCUUGUGGAUUGCGGGUACUCGAGUGGCGAACGGGUGAGUAACACGUGAGUGAUCUGCCCCCAACUUGGGUAUAAGCCUGGGAAACUGGGUCUAAUUCCCGAUAGGACUGCAGGGUGGUGCCUGUGGUGGAAAACGAUUUUCUAGUGGUUGGGGAUGAGCUCGCGGCCUAUCAGCUUGUUGGUGGGGUAAUGGCCUACCAAGGCGGCGACGGGUAGCCGGCCUGAGAGGGUGGACGGCCACAUUGGGACUGAGAUACGGCCCAGACUCCUACGGGAGGCAGCAGUGGGGAAUAUUGCACAAUGGGCGGAAGCCUGAUGCAGCGACGCCGCGUGGGGGAUGACGGCCUUCGGGUUGUAAACUCCUUUCGACCGCGAGGAAGCCACCUGGUUGGAAGGGUGGUGACGGUAGUGGAAGAAGAAGCACCGGCUAACUACGUG
rnacentral:rRNA from 1 species